GUGAGUGUGCUAGAGUGGUUAUCGAGCAUGACUAGAAAUCAUGUGGGCUUUGGCCGCGUAGGUUCAAAUCCUGCCACUCACG